UCACGUUGUGAGUUCGCAGUGUGGCUUAGUAGACGCCCCCUUCAGUCAUGACUGACCAUGGGUGAUUUAUCCUAGUUUGCAGGUGAUGUGUGGUCAGAUGUAAGCCUGGGCGAUCGAUGUCAUGUGGAGGACAGGCUGUUGCCCAUGCAGCACGUCCCUCCUCUCCACGUCGCUGAUCGAUCCAAAGGAACAGCAGGGCCGUUACAGUUUGGCACCAGCCCUGUCGCCGUUCUCCCCGUGACCUGCGUGGGUUUUCUCCGAGAUCUUCGGUUUCCUCCCACACUCCAAAGACGUACAGGUUUAGUGCGCUGCUCGUCUGAUGCUAUCUUUGAGGAAUGCAACAGAAGAUGAGGAAAGCCCUGAUCUCUACCCUUGGUCUCCUGCUGCUGCUACAGAUACUCUCCGCCAGAAAAAAUAAGGUCGAACGCAACUCACAUGGGCAGAAGUGUCGACAGAUCGGGGGGACUUGCCGAGCAAAGAAGUGCCUGCAAACGGAGAUGCCUUUAAAGAUCCCUUGCCUCAAACAUUACCGGUGUUGCAAAACAAAGUGAACAAGAGACUGCCACACUUGCUGCUCCCAAGUUCCCAACAGAAGGCCUAACUUUAACUCAGGCUCCCUUUCCUUAGCUAGGCCCGGUGACCCCUGACCCCUGACUUGGCAGACUUGUCAUGAAUAAAACUUACUG